rnacentral:lncRNA from 1 species
AGCGGAUGCCCUUCCAGCUGCAGCCCAGUACUGGGAAACACCCAUACACACUCAUUCACACACUCAUACACUACAGCCUAUGGACUAUGUGUGUGUGUGGAGUGUACUGACCUUCACAGAUGGGACAGCAUUGGUCUUCAGGCUGGACGGUGUGUGUGCAGGAGAGUGUAGGACACAUCACUGGGUCACAGAUCACCGUCUUUUUCUGCACACGGUGCAGGUGAAGCAGGUGUUGUACUGCGGUGUCCACUGUGAGCCGUGUGUGUGUUGUUCUCCCUCAAAGAAGCAGGAGUGUACGUGAGUGUGUGUGUCUUUGCGCAGCUCCGUCGGCUCCCGUGUGAACAGCAGAUCCUCAAACUCCGGCUCCUCCAGAAACUCAGCGCGGGGCGCCGGGGACUCACAGUGGUUCGGGACGUGGAUCUGAUGACCACACACA